rnacentral:rRNA from 1 species
GUGAGGAAUAUUGGACAAUGGGCGCAAGCCUGAUCCAGCCAUGCCGCGUGCAGGAAGACGCAUCUAUGGUGUGUAAACUGCUUUUGUACGGGAAGAAACACUCCCUCGUGAGGGAGCUUGACGGUACCGUAAGAAUAAGGAUCGGCUAACUCCGUGCCAGCAGCCGCGGUAAUACGGAGGAUCCAAGCGUUAUCCGGAAUCAUUGGGUUUAAAGGGUCCGUAGGCGGUUUAAUAAGUCAGUGGUGAAAGCCCAUCGCUCAACGAUGGAACGGCCAUUGAUACUGUUAGGCUUGAAUGACAAGGAAGUAACUAGAAUAUGUAGUGUAGCGGUGAAAUGCUUAGAUAUUACAUGGAAUACCAAUUGCGAAGGCAGGUUACUACUUGUGGAUUGACGCUGAUGGACGAAAGCGUGGGGAGCGAACAGGAUUAGAUACCCUAGUAGUCC